CUGACAGCCCUGAGUACUGAAGUCCCUUAUUUAUCCACAAAACAAGUGGAACUGGAUCACUGGCAGUACAGCCUUCCCCAGACUGUCCUGCCAAUGUGCCCCGACCUGAACCUGGGGUGGACCACCUUUCUGCAAAAGGUUACUCUAUUUCCUGCGGCCACUUUGCUGAGACUGCC
rnacentral:sRNA from 1 species